GCAAACAAUAUCAUAAUAAAAUUGUUGUGAAAAUAUUUAUCAUGAUAAUAUUUGCAUAUUCUGCUAUGAAAAAUAGGGCAAAUGGUCCUGCUGCAUAUUCUACGUUAAAGCCGGAAACUAGUUCUGAUUCACCUUCGGUGAGAUCAAAUGGGGCUCGGUUUGUUUCUGCUAGUGUUGAGAUAAAUCAUAUUAUUGCUAAGGGUCAUGCUGGAAAAAUAAGUCAUACUUGUUCUUGUGUAAUGAUUAAAGUGGAGAGUGUGAAUGACCUGUUUAUUAGGAGAACGGAUAGUAGGAUAAUUGCUAGUGUUACUUCAUAUGAAAUUGUUUGUGCUACUGCCCGUAGGGCCCCGAUUAGUGCAUAUUUAGAAUUAGAGGCUCAGCCCGAUCAGAGAAUAGAAUAUACGGCUAGGCUUGAUAUUGCUA